rnacentral:lncRNA from 1 species
AUGUUUCUAAUGAAUGAAAAUAAAAAAAACGAAACCAAAGAAACUUAUAACAUUAAAGAUGAAUCAAAAGAAGCUACAUUGAUUAAUGAAAUAAAUCAAAUGGAUAAUACUACUAAUGACUCAGAAAAUGCAGUUACAGUUGCAGUUGCAGCUGCAGUUACUAAAUGCGUCGAUACAAAUGCCAAUAUAAAUAAAAACGAAAAAUCUGAUAUAAAUAAAUUUAUUACUCAAGCAGACAGCAGUUUUCUUACUUCCACUACAACUCAUAUGGACCAUACGACUCAUACAACCCAUACGACUCAUACAACCCAUACGACUCAUAUGGACAUUUGCACUGAAAACCAAACCAAAUACAACACGAGAAAUAAAAAAGAAAACAAAAUAACAUGUUUAAAUAAAUUAAUUAAAGAUAAAGAAUUAUUUUUAACUAAUGAUGAAGAUGUAAUAAAUGAAAUAUAUAACAAUGUGAAUAUAAUUUAUUUCAGUAAAUAUAUAAAUGUUGUAGAAUACUAUGAAAAAUUUCGAAUAAAAUUAAAAUGUAUGAACAGUGUCAUAAAAUUUAUUGCAUCCAAAUCUAUAAUUGUUAAUGAUCAUAAUAAUAAUAAUAACGAUUUAUAUGUUGAUGAAUUUAAUUCCUUAGAAGAUUUAUAUGUAAGUACAAGAUUAAAAAUAUUAAAUAAUAAUAUUUUACCUCAAUUUUAUUCUUUCGAAACAAACGAUAUAUGUAAAUAUAUUAAAAACAUUUGUUUAUUAUCGAUAUAUAUUUCAAAAUUAGAAUUUAGUUUAUUUAUUGAAAUAUUUAAUAAUGACGUAGAUGGAUGUAUUAAUACUAUUUUAAAAGUUAUUGGUUUGUCUGUAUAUGACACUAUUAAAGAUAAUAUAUACGAAUUAAACAAUAUAAAAAUUAUAAGAAAAAUUAUUCAAAUGAUUUAUAUAGAUAUAUUAGAAACAUAUACAGAAAGUAUUUAUAAUAUAUUACGUGAUUUUUUAAAAAAAUUAUGUACCAACUUAAAAGAAAGACUUUUAUAUAUAAUAGAGUUAUACAUUUCUUAUUAUACAAAAAAUAUACAAGCUUCAAUUCCUUACGUGUGUUUCAAGCCUAUCAAAAAAAAAUUUAUCAACAUAGUAAAUGAUUUUUUAUAUCAGAAUUAUUUAGAACCAACUGGGACGACUCAUAAUGUUGACGUUGACAUAGGAGUCGGUGGUGAUAUUGAUGAAGGCGUCGAGAUUGAUGAAGGCGUCGAGAUUGAUGAAGACGUCGAGAUUGAUGAAGGCUUAGAGAUUAAUAGUGGUUCCAAGAUUAUUAGUGGUGUGAAUGGAAAUGGUAAAAAAAAAAAAAUAACCACAAAUUUGAAUACUUGUGACAUUAUUAAUGAGACUAAUAUAAAUGUAAAUAUUGACCUAAAACUGAAUAAUAAAGUAAAUGAUCAAUCACAUGAUUAUAGCACACCAAGUGAUAAUACAUCAAGUGAUAAUACAUUAAAUGAUAGUACAUCAAGUGAUAGUAUAUCGAGUGAAAAUAAUUAUAACCAACAUGAAUAUAAUAUGAAUAUAUUAAAUGAAUCUAACGUAUAUAAAUCAUUUAGUUUUUAUAAUAAUAAAUAUAAUAAAAAUACAAGUUAUAGUUUUUCUGGAAUUGAUAUAAAUAUUAUUGGUACUAUUAUUAUAUUAAAAAAUAUUAAUUUUAUAAUAGAAGAAAAUACACUACAAGAAAUUUAUAAAGAAUGCUUAGAAAACACAUUAAAUUCCAUAAUAUACAUUUAUAAACAACAUUUAAAAAUAUAUAAUAAUGAUAUGUUUAAUGGUUGCUUAUUUUUAAUCAAAAACUUAAGUUUUUUACUUUAUCUAUUUUAUAAAAUCACAAAAGAUAAACAGUUUUUUUAUUUAUACUUGGAUAAAAAACUAACAAAACACUUGUUAUUUCAACAAACUGGUUAUAUAAAAAACAAAAAUGAAAAAUUAAAAUCGAAACAUAUUGACACUAGUGGAAAUAACAAUAACUAUAACAAAAUGUUAUCAGAAAAUAAAAAUUCGAUUUUCCAUUUUUUUAAAAAAGUUUAUAAUACACCAUCAAAUAUGGAUAUGCAAAAUAAAACAUUGUUAUUAUUUAAUGAGGCCAUUUACAAUUUUACUAUAACAACUAUCGCAGCAGUUUGUUCCCCUCUUAUCAAAAUAUUGUCCACGGAAUAUAAAGAAAGCUAUUCCGAAAAAGAAGAAGAAAUAAAAAAGGCGAUAAACGAAUUUAUGAAUGUUAAAACAAGUAAUGAAAAAAAAAAUAAAAGCAAAGGUGAAAGCGAAGGUGAAAACGGAGAAGAAAAUGAAGAAGAAAACGGAGAAGAAAAUGGAGAAGAGGACAAAAAAGAAGACGAAAAAGAAGACUUCAUUUGUAUAAAUUACACUUCUUUCUCUCAUUUAAAUGAUAUAAAUUUAGAUAUAAUAAAAAAUUUGUUUAGUUAUAUUAUUGGCAUCUUGAAGUAUAAAAUAAUUUACAUAUUAAGCGAAGUAUACAUAUUGUUAAAUUACAAAUAUCCCGAACAUGUUGGAAAUAUCUUUAAAGGAAAUUAUAUAAACGAUAUUUUAUUUUUUUUGAAAUAUAAUGAUAAUUAUUCUUGUGACUUUUCAGACGUCCAUAAAUAUUUCGAUUUAAAUAAAAAUUAUAGUUUUCUAAAUAAGUGAUCUAAUUUUUAAAACAAACGAUAUGUCUAUAUAUAUAUAUAUAUAUGUGUUUUUUUUUUUGUUUGGCAUUUCGUUUUUAUUGAUAAGAUGAUGGCAUUUAACACUCGACGCAAAAAAAAACCAAAAAAAAAAAAAGGAGAUAAUAAGGGGGUAAAAAGGGGAGGUAAAUAUAAUAUAAGAAGAAUAUAAGAAGGAGAAAAAAUAUAUGCCAGAUAAAAUGCAUAACAUAUAACGUGAUUAAAAUAGAUAAACCAUAUUAAAAAAAAAAAAAAAAAAAAAAAUUAUUUAAUUUAAUACUUAUGAAAAAUAAGUGGAAAUUGACAAAAUGUGACGGGAUGUAGUAAAUACAAUAACUAAAAUUAUACUUAAAAAUAAAUAGAGUAAAAUAGAGUAAAAUAAAGCA